rnacentral:rRNA from 1 species
AGUUGUAAUCUGUAGAGGAUGUUUCUGGCAAGGCGCCGUCCGAGUUCCCUGGAACGGGACGCCGGAGAGGGUGAGAGCCCCGUACAGGCGGACGCCGAGCCUCUGUGAAACUCCUUCGACGAGUCGAGUAGUUUGGGAAUGCUGCUCAAAGCGGGAGGUAAAUUUCUUCUAAAGCUAAAUAUAGGCCAGAGACCGAUAGCGCACAAGUAGAGUGAUCGAAAGAUGAAAAGCACUUUGAAAAGAGGGUUAAAAAGCACGUGAAAUUGUUGAAAGGGAAGCGCCUGUGACCAGACUCGCGCCCGGCGUAUCAUCCGGCGUUCUCGCCGGUGCACUACGCCGGGCUCGGGCCAGCAUCGGUUCUGGUGGGGGGAUAAAGGCGGCGGGGAUGUGGCUCCCCCGGGAGUGUUAUANCCCGCCGCUCAAUGCCCUCGCCGGGACCGAGGACCGCGCAUUGCAAGGAUGCUGGCGUAAUGGGCACCAGCGACCCGUCUUG